rnacentral:rRNA from 1 species
UACGUAGGGUGCAAGCGUUAAUCGGAAUUACUGGGCGUAAAGCGUGCGCAGGCGGUUUUGUAAGUCUGUCGUGAAAGCCCCGGGCUCAACCUGGGAAUUGCGAUGGAGACUGCAAGGCUUGAAUCUGGCAGAGGGGGGUAGAAUUCCACGUGUAGCAGUGAAAUGCGUAGAGAUGUGGAGGAACACCGAUGGCGAAGGCAGCCCCCUGGGUCAAGAUUGACGCUCAUGCACGGAAAGCGUGGGGAGCAAACAGG